AAACAGCCCCCUAUGUUUUGAUUCUUUGGCAAUUUUGGACCCCUAAGGAAGAAAAAAAAAAUUGACAUGUGGCACCUCACUUAGGGUGCCACGUCAGUGUUGACCGAGUCAACAAUGGACUGGGGGUCUAAAACUGCCAAAGAAUCAAAACAUAGGGGGCUGUUU
rnacentral:pre_miRNA from 1 species